AUUUGGACGCCACCAAAUGCGUUACCUUAACAGUCUGUUCACUAGAAGUCACUACAAGGCAAAAACCGUUUAGCGAACUGUUGCAAGUCGGCUUGUCAGUUGAGUGUGAGUCCUGCUAUCUAAUUUGUUGAGAAAAAAACGUCAAAAAGUGGCGGCAGUCAAUGAAUGCCAACCCAAGAACCGACCGAGGAUGCUAAUGCUAGGUGGAGGACCCUCCUGCCGCCAAACAUGGAGGAUUAUGAGGACGACAACGAAGACGGCAAAGAAGUAACGGAGCUGCGUUAAUUGUUGAACUCUUCUAAGAGGAUUUCCUAGUAUUCCAAGGCCAGGUGGAUCCCUCCAGGAAGUCCUGGGUCUGCCCCGAGGUCUCCUAUCAGUUGGGCAUGCCAAGAAGACCUCAAUUGGGACAGGACCUGGAGUUAUCGUGAUCAGAUGCCCACACCACCUCAGCGUACUCCUUUUUAUGUGAAGAAGCAGCAGUUCUACUCCAAGCUACCCCUGGAUGUCUGAGCUCCUCAGCCUUUCUGUAAGGCUCCUGAAGAACCUCGUUUCAAAUGCUUGUAUCUGUGAUCUCAUUCUUUCGAUCAUUACCUAGAGCUCACAACCAUGGGUGAGGGGUGGAACAAAAAUAGACUGGUUGAAUUGAAAGCUUUGCCUUCAGAAGCUUCCUCUUCACCGCAACAGUACAUCUGCAAUACUUCUGAUGCUGCACCAUUCUGCCUGCCAGUCUCUCUGUCCAUUCUACCCAUUCCACCCAUUAAGAACACUGAAAUUAAUUUAGUUAAACUGCAUGUUGUCAUCUUGCAGAAGCAGGUGGCAAGGUUUUAAAAAUGUGGCAUUUCUCUCAGUAGAGCAGAAGGCUACACUUACUUCAGUCAUAACAGUGAAGAUCUGGAGCUAUAUAUAUUCCUAUGUUGUCUCUUAACUGCUGCUCUGCUCUCGGCUCAUUUGUUGUUGGAACAACUGCGAAAUCUAUUUUGUUGGCUGACAGCUGUGUUUUUUUUAUGAUUCUCUGUGCAUCCAAUCUGAUAUCCCUCUGUGUGUGUUUUCAGCAGUUGGAUGUGCACUGGAAUGUCUUGUGUAAUGUGUGAGCCAUAUGACAGUUAUUUAUCAUACGGCUGUAUGCUCAUCUGCUAUCUGGGCUUUGAUUCAGACCACAGUAUGAGCACCAGAGUAAGGAUAAAAUCCAGCUGACGCUACAGUCCCGAACUUCUGUGUGGUGCCUACAGUAAAACAGCAGCUUUGGAACACACCAUACGUAAACUUUCUUUUUUCCUUGUGGCAGCUGGUUGGUCUAUCUGCCACUUCGGGCAACAUCUCUUUAAUAGAACAUAAUCAAAUUUUGUGAAGACAUUCAUGGUUCAUGGAAGAUGAUCCUGCUAACUGUACUGAUUCUUUGAAUUUUCCUUUGGCACCAACUUCAGGUUGACAUCUGUGGUCUGUACAGGCUGAACAUGAAUUACCACAGAACAUGAAUAAUCAUGGUAACUAGUGGAUGAGUCGCCAUUAAAUUUAAUGAAGACCGUUGUCUCUUUAGUUAUUACACUCGUGACUUUUAUGAGAUUAAAUAACUGGUUACUGAUG